AUAUCAAUAAGCGGAGGAAAAGAAACCAACAGGGAUUGCCCUAGUAACGGCGAGUGAAGCGGCAACAGCUCAAAUUUGAAAUCUGGCCUUCGGGUCCGAGUUGUAAUUUGUAGAGGAUGCUUUUGGUGAAGUGCCUUCCGAGUUCCUUGGAACAGGACGCCUUAGAGGGUGAGAGCCCCGUACGGUUGGACAUUAAGCCUCUGUAAAGCUCCUUCGACGAGUCGAGUAGUUUGGGAAUGCUGCUCUAAAUGGGAGGUAAAUUUCUUCUAAAGCUAAAUACCGGCCAGAGACCGAUAGCGCACAAGUAGAGUGAUCGAAAGAUGAAAAGUACUUUGAAAAGAGGGUUAAAUAGCACGUGAAAUUGUUGAAAGGGAAGCGUUUAUGACCAGACCUUUGUCUAGCGGAUCAUCCGGUGUUCUUCACCGGUGCACUUCGCUAGGCUCAGGCCAGCAUCGGUUUCUGUAGAGGGAUAAAGACCGUGGGAACGUAGCUCUCUCCGGGGAGUGUUAUAGCCCUAGGUGUAAUACCUUUACGGGGACCGAGGUUCGCGCUUCUGCAAGGAUGCUGGCGUAAUGGUCAUCAACGA
rnacentral:rRNA from 1 species